GUAAGAGUUAUGUAUUCUGAAUACAAAUCCCUGAUCAGAUAUAUGAUUUAAAAGUACUUUAUUCUAUUCUAUAUUUGUCUUUUCACUUCCUUGAUGAUUUUUUUUUUGAAGUGUAACAUUUUAAAAAAUUUUGUUCCCUAUGCUUUUGGUGUCCAUAUCUGAGAAAUUGUUGCCUCACCCAAGAUUUAUUCCCAUGAAGAUUUGCUCCUAUUUUAUUCUAAGAAUUUUAUAGUCUUUUUUUUAUGUUUUACAUUUAAAUCCAUGAUCCAUUUUGAGUUAACUUCUGCCUCUGCCCUUUUCUGUUUGCCCCAAUCCUCAGAGAUUUUGUUCCCAAGUUCAUUCCCCAACAAAUCUACAAACUUCAAGUUUAUUUCCCUGGAAUCAGAUAGUUGACUCAUAAAUAUGAAAAUAGAAUGUGAUGACUGGGGGCAUUGUGGAAACUGUAAACACACCUGUCCCUGGUGUGGAUUUCUGAGGGCUGACACUUCCCCCAAGGUGAGGAAGGCCUGUAGAAUAGAAGCUCCUUUGUGGACUAGCAAGGGCUGACUUCUCCAUUUGCCCCUGCUUAGCAAAACCCAUUCAGACUGCUUAACAAAAAUGCCACAGUCCAGGUGGAUUAUAAACAACAGAAAUUUAUUUCUCAUGAUUCUAGAGGCUGCAAAAUCCAAGAUCAAGAUGCUAGCAGAUUAGGUACCCACUCCUGGAGAUGGUUGGAUCUCCAACCAUGGAGAUCCAUGGUUAGCAUCACCAUGAGAUGGCAUCACCAGCUCAAUGGACAUGAGUUUGAGCAAACUCUAGAUAGUGACGGACAGGGAAGCCUGGCAUGCUGCAGUCCAUGGGGUUUCAAAGAGCCGGACAUGACUUAGCGACUGAACAACAACCUGACUCAAAGACAGCCUUCUCUUCUCUGUGCCCUCUUAUGGUAGAAGGAACAGGGGAGCUUUCUAAUAUCUCUUUAUAAGGAACAUUAUUCCCAUCCAUGAUGUCCUAAUCACCUCCCAAGGCCCUAUCUCUUAAUACUGGUAGCUUGGGUGCUGAGGAUUCAACCUAUGAACAUUAAGGGAAUACAAAUAUACAGUUUACGCCACCCGCUUUGCUUCAAAAACCUUAUUACUCUAUAGAAGACAGUUUUCAGUCACAGAGAUCAAAGCACAGGCAAGUUAAUAUUCAAAACAUGACAUUGCUUCAAGCUACAUAUCCUUUUAUAUAUGUAUUACAGCAGGAGAAAGAUAAUACAUAUUCUUU
rnacentral:lncRNA from 1 species